rnacentral:lncRNA from 1 species
UUCUCUUCUUGUCCAGGGUCUCAAAUAAAGGUGCAUUGGUAUGGAUAUUUUCCAAUAGCUCCUCAUACCUUUCAGAAUUGGGGUCUACCUUAACUUCUACAGACCUUCACGGGAAAGGAAUUGGUGAUUUAUAGGGAGGAGUAACAACACAUAGUUCUUCCUUCUCUAACUCUUUGACAACCUCCCUCGCGGGUGGUGUCGGUGGUUCUUUCUCAAUCUCUGCUCUUUUCUCACCU